CCCUUAGAUGUUCUGGGCCGCACGCGCGCUACACUGACGAAGUCAGCGAGCAUCUCCUUCGCCGAAAGGUGCGGGGAAUCUUGUGAAACUUUGUCGUGCUGGGGAUUGAUUUUUGAAAUUCUUGAUCAUCAACGAGGAAUUCCUAGUAAGCGCAAGUCAGCAGCUUGCGUUGAUUACGUCCCUGCCCUUUGUACACACCGCCCGUCGCUACUACCGAUUGAGUGCUCCGGUGAACAAUUUGGACUGCUUUGAUUCGAUUAGAAUUUGAAGCGGAAAGUUUAGUGAACCUUAUCACUUAGAGGAAGGAGAAGUCGUAACA
rnacentral:rRNA from 1 species